rnacentral:rRNA from 1 species
GGCGGCUCGAGUGGUGGCCACUAUUACUGGGCUUAAAGCGUUCGUAGCUGGUUUGUUAAGUCUCUGGGGAAAUCUUCCGGCUUAACCGGAAGGCGUCUCAGGGAUACUGGCAGACUAGGGACCGGGAGAGGUGAGGGGUACUCCAGGGGUAGGAGUGAAAUCCUGUAAUCCUUGGGGGACCACCUGUGGCGAAGGCGCCUCACCAGAACGGCUCCGACAGUGAGGGACGAAAGCUGGGGGAGCAAACC